rnacentral:rRNA from 1 species
AACGAACGCUGGCGGCAUGCCUAACACAUGCAAGUCGAACGAGACCUUCGGGUCUAGUGGCGCACGGGUGCGUAACGCGUGGGAACCUGCCCUUAGGUUCGGAAUAACUCCCCGAAAGGGGUGCUAAUACCGGAUAAUGUCUUCGGACCAAAGAUUUAUCGCCUUUGGAUGGGCCCGCGUUGGAUUAGCUAGUUGGUAGGGUAAAGGCCUACCAAGGCGACGAUCCAUAGCUGGUCUGAGAGGAUGAUCAGCCACACUGGGACUGAGACACGGCCCAGACUCCUACGGGAGGCAGCAGUGGGGAAUAUUGGGCAAUGGGCGAAAGCCUGAUCCAGCAAUGCCGCGUGAGUGAUGAAGGCCUUAGGGUUGUAAAGCUCUUUUACCCGGGAUGAUAAUGACAGUACCGGGAGAAUAAGCUCCGGCUAACUCCGUG